rnacentral:rRNA from 1 species
CAGUCGCCGCGGUAAUUCGUAGGUGGCGAGCGUUGUCCGGAAUUAUUGGGCGUAAAGGGCCCGCAGGCGGUUUCUUAAGUCUGAUGUGAAAGCCCCCGGCUCAACCGGGGAGGGUCAUUGGAAACUGGGAAACUUGAGUGCAGAAGAGGAGAGUGGAAUUCCACGUGUAGCGGUGAAAUGCGUAGAGAUGUGGAGGAACACCAGUGGCGAAGGCGACUCUCUGGUCUGUAACUGACGCUGAGGAGCGAAAGCGUGGGGAGCGAACAGGAUUAGAUACCCCCGUAGUCCCUGUCUCUUAUAC